GGGCGUAAAGGGCUCCGCAGGCGGUUUUUUAAGUCUGAAUGUGAAAGCCCCCGGCUUAACCGGGGAGGGUCAUUGGAAACUGGGGAACUUGAGUGCAGAAGAGGAGAGUGGAAUUCCACGUGUAGCGGUGAAAUGCGUAGAGAUGUGGAGGAACACCAGUGGCGAAGGCGACUCUCUGGUCUGUAACUGACGCUGAGGAGCGAAAGCGUGGGGAGCGAACAGGAUUAGAUACCCUGGUAGUCCACGCCGUAAACGAUGAGUGCUAAGUGUUAGGGGGUUUCCGCCCCUUAGUGCUGCAGCUAACGCAUUAAGCACUCCGCCUGGGGAGUACGGUCGCAAGACUGAAACUCAAAGGAAUUGACGGGGGCCCGCACAAGCGGUGGAGCAUGUGGUUUAAUUCGAAGCAACGCGAAGAACCUUACCAGGUCUUGACAUCCUCUGACAAUCCUAGAGAUAGGACGUCCCCUUCGGGGGCAGAGUGACAGGUGGUGCAUGGUUGUCGUCAGCUCGUGUCGUGAGAUGUUGGGUUAAGUCCCGCAACGAGCGCAACCCUUGAUCUUAGUUGCCAGCAUUCAGUUGGGCACUCUAAGGUGACUGCCGGUGACAAACCGGAGGAAGGUGGGGAUGACGUCAAAUCAUCAUGCCCCUUAUGACCUGGGCUACACACGUGCUACAAUGGACAG
rnacentral:rRNA from 1 species